GAUGAACGCUGGCGGCGUGCCUAACACAUGCAAGUCGAGCGAAAAGACGAGGAGUUUCCUCCUCUGACGUUAGCGGCACACGGGAGUAUAACAAGUGGAUAACUUAACUAUAAGACUAGGAUCACUUCGGAAACGGGUAGCUACUGCCGACUAAUAUCUUGAACCGCAUGGUUCAAUAGUGAACGCCGGUUUUGCUGUCACUUAACGAUGGAUCCGCGCCGGAUUAGCUAGUUGGUCAGGUAACGGCUUACCAAGGCGCCGAUGCGUAGCCGACCUGAGAGGGUGAUCGGCCACACUGGAACUGAGACACGGUCCAGACUCCUACGGGAGGCAGCAGUAGGGAAUCUUCCGCAAUGGGCGAAAGCCUGACGGAGCAACGCCGCGUGAGUGAUGAAGGUCUUCGGAUUGUAAAGCACUGUUGUUAGGGAAGAACAUAUGGGUAAGUAUAUGGGCAGAUCAUGACGGUACCUAAUCAGAAAGCCACGGCUAACUACGUG
rnacentral:rRNA from 1 species